rnacentral:snoRNA from 1 species
UAUUAAGGAUGACCUAUCCCGAACCUGAUUCCUGUAAGAUGACAACCCUGUCGGAUCUGACUUCUGAAAU